UGUUAUAGCUCAGUGGUAGAGCACUUCCUUGGUAAGGAAGAGGUCCCGAGUUCAAAUCUCGGUA
rnacentral:tRNA from 2 species